UGGAUGGACAUAGGGAGUACCACGUAUCUUCUGGGAAACAAGCCGAUGUCUUGGUUGAACAGCUGGACGCAGUGCUGCGCUUUGGGAAUGGAAAUGCUGAACAUUGAAAACGCGGCUGAGCAGAGAGGCCUGUCCAGUUUGACCGACGGCUAUAAUAAAAAAACGUGGAAAGCGAAUUUCAAUUACUGGACUUCUGGUACGUGGAAGGGCGCACCAGCGGGCCAAUGGUCGUGGUGCAAAACCACGGGGCCGACUGUCCUGGAUAAAAACCUCAUCUGGGAGCGCGGCCAACCCGACAAUAAAGGUGGAAACGAAGGCUGCGCCCACUUCCGCUUCGAUUUAAACUCCUCCAACGCACUCUUAACUGACAGAAACUGCGACAGUAAAUUCGUAUUCGCUUGCAAGACGUCACUUCUUACAACUACUGCUAAGCCGUGCAUCGCAUCGUGCCCACCGAUAAACACCUGCCAGCGAAAU